UUUUAUGUGGUUACUAGGGUGUUGUGAGUGUUUUAGGCUGUGGUUGCUAGGGUAAGCUGAGUGUUUUAGGCUGUUUUUAUGCGGUUACUAGGGUGUUGUGAGUGUUUUAGGCUGUGGUUGCUAGGGUAAGCUGAGUGUUUUAGGCUGUUUUUAUGCGGUUACUAGGGUGUUGUGAGUGUUUUAGGCUGUGGUUGCUAGGGUAAUCUGAGUGUUUUAGGCUGUUUUUAUGCGGUUAUUGGGGUGUUGUAGCUGGUUUCUAGGUGCAGGCUCAUGCUUCAGCAGACCUAUUGUAAGCACUCUGCUCAGAUCAGGCGGGAUGAAGGUUCUCCUCACCAUGUGGAUUCUAUAAACAGAAUUAUGCUUUUCCUGAAGACUCGUAUCCUGAGGAACGGCUCCAGAGGACCUUCAGCUCAAGGACGUCUGCACUUCCUCCUCUUCCUUCAGCGUUCUUAUCUUCCAUCCAGCUUCAGGCUUCCUGUUCCUUCAGCUCCUGUCCCUCUCACACACACACACACACACACACAUUAGAUCUGAUGGAGCGGUUCCAUGUGAGAAGGCCGUGAUGAAUGAUUCAUCCUGAGGGAAAGAGAGCGCUGACUCACCACAGCAUCUCAAAGCAGAAGCUAAAUGGAUUUUAGCAGUGCAUCCUUCAGUAUCUGGACCAGAACAUGAAGAGGACGUUUCCUGCUCUUUAGGGAAACACACACACAAACACACAGGCUUCUUCUGAGAAAGACCUUCUGUGACGUUCCCUACACAAACAGUAUUCAAAGCUAUCAAGGGUUCACCAAACGAAAGCCUUCUAAGACUGUUGGAUCCCACAGCUCUGUUCUGAGGAAAAACAAG
ensembl:lncRNA